CCUGCCAUGAAAACUAAAAGGCUAGUUGGCCUGAUAGAAAAAAGGUUUUUCUUAGAUAAUUUGUUUUUCAUUAGCUGAACCAUUCCCUGCUUCUUACUACAUGGUUUAUUUGCAUGCUAAUCAACCUUUUGUUUUAGGCGAUGGCCAUAGUUGCUGAUUUUAUGCUUGUCUGGCUUCCUGCACCAACUGUUUCUCUUCAACCACCUCUAGUAUUCAGUGCUGGACCUAUUGUCAAAUUCUUUUACAGCUGCCCUGAUAAUGCUUUUCAGGUUACUUUGGCUGGAACAUCAUACUCAUUAUUGCAGAGUAUAAAGAUUCGAAAGGAGAAGGUGUUUCCGAGGAGAACGAAGGAGACUUUGAAACGUUUCAGAGAGAGAAUCAAACGUUUCAAUAAGAGAAUUGUUUUUCCCGUUGCGCCGUUUCGUCCACAGUACAUGAAUUAAAUAAGUUACUGAACUGUGUUCAAAUAAGAAGGAAAAACAGAGUUUGUUAUUCGUUGUGAUGGAAUAAGGACUGCUAUUGCCGAUCGGGGAGGGGAUGACGAUGACUUCCAUGAAAUGAGGAACCGAUAGAUUCAACAUAGAGAGUUGGUGCAAUAGUGAGAAAUGGGUCAAAGCUAUUUGCUGUUGGGACUGGUGCAUCUCUAGUAGGCUAGAUUCUUUCACCAAUUAGGGGGUUUCUGUGAC